rnacentral:rRNA from 1 species
AUGCCCUGGCAGUCAGAGGCGAUGAAGGACGUGCUAAUCUGCGAUAAGCGUCGGUAAGGUGAUAUGAACCGUUAUAACCGGCGAUUUCCGAAUGGGGAAACCCAGUGUGAUUCGUCACACUAUCAUUAACUGAAUCCAUAGGUUAAUGAGGCGAACCGGGGGAACUGAAACAUCUAAGUACCCCGAGGAAAAGAAAUCAACCGAGAUUCCCCCAGUAGCGGCGAGCGAACGGGGAGCAGCCCAGAGCCUGAAUCAGUGUGUGUGUUAGUGGAAGCGUCUGGAAAGGCGUGCGAUACAGGGUGACAGCCCCGUACACAAAAAUGCACAUACUGUGAGCUCGAUGAGUAGGGCGGGACACGUGGUAUCCUGUCUGAAUAUGGGGGGACCAUCCUCCAAGGCUAAAUACUCCUGACUGACCGAUAGUGAACCAGUACCGUGAGGGAAAGGCGAAAAGAACCCCGGCGAGGGGAGUGAAAAAGAACCUGAAACCGUGUACGUACAAGCAGUGGGAGCACGCUUAGGCGUGUGACUGCGUACCUUUUGUAUAAUGGGUCAGCGACUUAUAUUCUGUAGCAAGGUUAACCGAAUAGGGGAGCCGAAGGGAAACCGAGUCUUAACUGGGCGUUAAGUUGCAGGGUAUAGACCCGAAACCCGGUGAUCUAGCCAUGGGCAGGUUGAAGGUUGGGUAACACUAACUGGAGGACCGAACCGACUAAUGUUGAAAAAUUAGCGGAUGACUUGUGGCUGGGGGUGAAAGGCCAAUCAAACCGGGAGAUAGCUGGUUCUCCCCGAAAGCUAUUUAGGUAGCGCCUCGUGAAUUCAUCUCCGGGGGUAGAGCACUGUUUCGGCAAGGGGGUCAUCCCGACUUACCAACCCGAUGCAAACUGCGAAUACCGGAGAAUGUUAUCACGGGAGACACACGGCGGGUGCUAACGUCCGUCGUGAAGAGGGAAACAACCCAGACCGCCAGCUAAGGUCCCAAAGUCAUGGUUAAGUGGGAAACGAUGUGGGAAGGCCCAGACAGCCAGGAUGUUGGCUUAGAAGCAGCCAUCAUUUAAAGAAAGCGUAAUAGCUCACUGGUCGAGUCGGCCUGCGCGGAAGAUGUAACGGGGCUAAACCAUGCACCGAAGCUGCGGCAGCGACGCUUAUGCGUUGUUGGGUAGGGGAGCGUUCUGUAAGCCUGUGAAGGUGUGCUGUGAGGUAUGCUGGAGGUAUCAGAAGUGCGAAUGCUGACAUAAGUAACGAUAAAGCGGGUGAAAAGCCCGCUCGCCGGAAGACCAAGGGUUCCUGUCCAACGUUAAUCGGGGCAGGGUGAGUCGACCCCUAAGGCGAGGCCGAAAGGCGUAGUCGAUGGGAAACAGGUUAAUAUUCCUGUACUUGGUGUUACUGCGAAGGGGGGACGGAGAAGGCUAUGUUGGCCGGGCGACGGUUGUCCCGGUUUAAGCGUGUAGGCUGGUUUUCCAGGCAAAUCCGGAAAAUCAAGGCCGAGGCGUGAUGACGAGGCACUACGGUGCUGAAGCAACAAAUGCCCUGCUUCCAGGAAAAGCCUCUAAGCAUCAGGUAACAUCAAAUCGUACCCCAAACCGACACAGGUGGUCAGGUAGAGAAUACCAAGGCGCUUGAGAGAACUCGGGUGAAGGAACUAGGCAAAAUGGUGCCGUAACUUCGGGAGAAGGCACGCUGAUACGUAGGUGAAGCGACUUGCUCGUGGAGCUGAAAUCAGUCGAAGAUACCAGCUGGCUGCAACUGUUUAUUAAAAACACAGCACUGUGCAAACACGAAAGUGGACGUAUACGGUGUGACGCCUGCCCGGUGCCGGAAGGUUAAUUGAUGGGGUUAGCGCAAGCGAAGCUCUUGAUCGAAGCCCCGGUAAACGGCGGCCGUAACUAUAACGGUCCUAAGGUAGCGAAAUUCCUUGUCGGGUAAGUUCCGACCUGCACGAAUGGCGUAAUGAUGGCCAGGCUGUCUCCACCCGAGACUCAGUGAAAUUGAACUCGCUGUGAAGAUGCAGUGUACCCGCGGCAAGACGGAAAGACCCCGUGAACCUUUACUAUAGCUUGACACUGAACAUUGAGCCUUGAUGUGUAGGAUAGGUGGGAGGCUUUGAAGUGUGGACGCCAGUCUGCAUGGAGCCGACCUUGAAAUACCACCCUUUAAUGUUUGAUGUUCUAACGUGGACCCGUGAUCCGGGUUGCGGACAGUGUCUGGUGGGUAGUUUGACUGGGGCGGUCUCCUCCUAAAGAGUAACGGAGGAGCACGAAGGUUGGCUAAUCCUGGUCGGACAUCAGGAGGUUAGUGCAAUGGCAUAAGCCAGCUUGACUGCGAGCGUGACGGCGCGAGCAGGUGCGAAAGCAGGUCAUAGUGAUCCGGUGGUUCUGAAUGGAAGGGCCAUCGCUCAACGGAUAAAAGGUACUCCGGGGAUAACAGGCUGAUACCGCCCAAGAGUUCAUAUCGACGGCGGUGUUUGGCACCUCGAUGUCGGCUCAUCACAUCCUGGGGCUGAAGUAGGUCCCAAGGGUAUGGCUGUUCGCCAUUUAAAGUGGUACGCGAGCUGGGUUUAGAACGUCGUGAGACAGUUCGGUCCCUAUCUGCCGUGGGCGCUGGAGAACUGAGGGGGGCUGCUCCUAGUACGAGAGGACCGGAGUGGACGCAUCACUGGUGUUCGGGUUGUCAUGCCAAUGGCACUGCCCGGUAGCUAAAUGCGGAAGAGAUAAGUGCUGAAAGCAUCUAAGCACGAAACUUGCCCCGAGAUGAGUUCUCCCUGACCCUUUAAGGGUCCUGAAGGAACGUUGAAGACGACGACGUUGAUAGGCCGGGUGUGUAAGCGCAGCGAUGCGUUGAGCUAACCGGUACUAAUGAACCGUGAGGCUUAACCUUACAACGCCGAAG